UUGUUUUUUGUCCAUACCUCUCUCUCUCUCUAAGCAUGUGGACAUGUUUUUCGAUUUCGGUUUUCGCUUGAGGACAAGCGAGGUCUAAGCUUGGGGGAGUUGAUACGUCCAUUUUUCAUCAUGUUUACCUACUGUUAUUUAUGUUGUUUCAUUGCAUAAUAAUGCUUUUUGGAGUAAUUAUAAUGCCUUUUCUCUCAUAAUAUGCAAGGUAUAUACGAAGGGGGAGAAUUCCGGCAGUUGGAAAUCUGGACCUGAAAAAGCUACGUCAGGCUACCUAUUCUGCACAACUCCAAAUGAGCUGAAACUUCACGAGGAUUUUUUAUGGAAUAAAUAAGAAAUACUGGAGCAAAUAAGUACCAGAGGAGGCCACCCUGGUGAGCACAAGACACCAGGGUGCGCCUGGGGGUUGUGCUCAUCCAGGCCCACCUCUGGUGCCCCUCUUCUGGUACAUAAGUGAUUUUGACCUAGAAAAAAUAAGGAGAGGACUUUCGGGACGAAGCGCCGCCGUCUCGAGGCGGAACCUCGGCAGGAGCACUUUUGCCCUCCGGCGGAGCGAUUCCACUAGGGGAACUUCCCUCCUGGAGGGGGAAAUCAUCGUCAUCAUCAUCACCAACAACUCUCCCAUCUUGGGGAGGGCUAUCUCCAUCAACAUCUUCAACAACACCAACUCCUCUCGAACCCUAGUUCAUCUCUUGUGUUCAAUCUUUGUAUCGGAACUAUAGAUUUGUGCUUGUGGGUGACUAGUAGUGUUGAUUACAUCUUGUAGUUGAUUACUAUAUGGUUUAUUUGGUGGAAGAUUAUAUGUUCAGAUCCAUUAUUCUAUUUAAUACACCUCUGAUCUUGAGCAUGAUUAUCAUUUGUGAGUAGUUACUUUUGUUCUUGAGGUCACGAGAGAAAUCACGUGAACUUGAUAUGUGUUCGAUAUUUUGAUGAUAUGUAUAUUGUGAUUCCCUUAGUGGUGUCAUGUGAAUGUCGACUAUAUGACACUUCACCAUAUUUGGGCCUAAGAGAAUGCAUUGUGGAGUAUUUAUUAGAUGAUGGGUUGCGAGAGUGAUAGAAGCUUAAACCCUAGUUUAUGCGCUAUUCCAUAAGGGGCCGAUUGGAUCCAAAAGUUUAAUGCUAUGGUUAGAAUUUAUUCUUAAUACUUUUCUCAUAGUUGCGGAUGCUUGCGAGGGGGUUAAUCAUAAGUAGGAGGUUUGUUUAAGUAAGAACAGCACCUAAGCACCGGCCCACCCACAUACCAAAUUAUCAAAGUAGCGAACACGAAUUGAGCCAACAUGAUGAAAGUGACUAGAUGAAAUUCCCGUGUACCCUCAAGAACACUUUGCUUAUCAUAAGAGAUUGUUUUGGCUUGUCCUUGGCCUCAAAAGGAUUGGGCUACCUUGCUGCACUUUUGUUACUACUGUUGUUACUUGCUCGUUACAAAUUAUCUUGCUAUCAAACUAUUCUAUUACUUACAAUUUUAGCACCUGCAGACAUUACCUUGCUGAAAACCACUUGUCGUUUCCUUAUGCUCCUCGUUGGGUUCGACACUCUUACUUAUCGAAAAGGCUACAAUUGACCCCAUAUACUUGUGGGUCAUCAACAGAUAUUCAACACUUUAGGCUGAUUACAGUGAUUAACGUGCUCCAGCGGAUAUUUGUGAAGGUGUGUGCGACGCACUUUUCCCCUGUGGUGGAACACCUUUCUCACCCCUAUCGGCCUGCAUCCUUGAAGGGCUAUCAUAUCCAUGACAGAAUUUGAGCUCUUCAUGAGAUAGUGCAAGAGGUUAGGACAUGCCAUCAUAAAGCGUCUUCCUUAAGCUAGACUUCCAGAAGGCGUAGGAACACUUUGACUGGUCCUUUGCCUAGUUCUUGAGCGACAGGGGUUCGAUGAUCGUUGGUAUUCAUGAAUCAUGCAGUUGGUCAGAAUGGUAGCACAUCCAUUAAUAUUAAUGGGGAGGUCGGGCCCCUUUCUUUAGGUCUUCUCGCAGGCUGAGGCAGGGGGAUCCUAUUGCUCACCUCCUCUUUAAACUUGCGGUCGAAACCCUUGCAGCUAUCCUAGAUAAAGCUAGGAUGGCCAAGCACAUCACUAGUGUGGUUGGGCAUUUAAUCCCUAGUGGUGGCGUCACGCAUCUGCAGUAUGCGAAUGAUACCAUGAUUAUGGUGGAGGGUUCGGAUCUUGAUAUUAUCAACCUCAAGUUCCUCCUUUUGUGCUUUGAGGCAAUCUAUGGUCUUAAGACCAACUUUGACAACAGCGAAGUUGUGGUUUUAGGGUACUCGGCAAGCAGCGGCGGAUUCCGGACAACUUAACCUAUAGGUUGUCCUCCUUUCCCAUUACAUACUUAGGGAUGUCGCUCUCUGAUUCGAGGGUACCCUUAAGUGAGUUCAACCCACUUAUGGGUCAGGUCACAUCUAGGUCGGAGCCAUGGUGCGGUCGUCUUACGUCCAAAGGAGUAAGACCGUUCUUAUCAACUCCUCCCUGUCUAGUCUCCCCAUGUAUAUGCUGAGAUUGUACAUCAUGCUGGAAGGGGUACAUCGCUCCUUUGAUAAAGACCUUUCCCGCUUCCUCUGGCAAGAGGCGGAUGGCCGAUAGAAGUACCCUAUGGUCAAGUGGGUUGAUAUUUGCAUGCCUAAGGACCUGGGAGGAAUUUGCAUCCUUGCAUCCCAUCGCAUAAAUGUGGCCCUUAUGCUGAGAUGGGUCUGGCGGAUCCUUCACGGGGAUGUGGGCUAUGGUUACAACUUGUUCAAACAAAGUACUUGUGGGGUCAGACUCUCCUUGCCUGUGAGCAUAGGGAGGGUUCUCAAUUCUGGAGAUCUAUUCAGCGGAUCAAGCAUGAGAUCCGCAAUGGGCUCUCCUUCUCCGUUAGCAAUGGAAAAGGACCCUCUUCUAGCUUGACCCGUGGGUGGGCAAGUCUUCGUUAUGUAUGGAGUUCCCAAACGUGUUUUGCUAUGUGCUCGUAUCCGAUGACAUUGAUUUCCAUGGCGGCCCACGCUUGCCAUUGGAACGUCUUGUUCUGACGAACAUUUGGGCCCAUGGAGGUCGAGGAGUAAGCCAAGGAGUGGCCCAACUUGCAGGCUGACCUCCCCUCGGUGCUUGCAAACUAUUCGGGCACCGAGAUCUUUUCUGUUGGCUCCAUUUAUCAUGCCUUAUGCCGAUGGUCGUCUCUUUCCUGGACCUUUCCCCUAUGGAAAGCACUCAUGCCACUCAAGAUCAAAAUUUUUGUUUGGCAGCUCUUGCGAGAUCGCCUCCCAUCUAGCAGGGAGGUGAUCAAACGGCACAACCAUGGGGAUGGGUUGUGCCCGCUUUGUGGUGUUUCAAAGACAUGGACGCACAUCUUAUUCUUGUGCACAUCGGCGAGAUUACUUUGGAGUUUCGCCUGUGAGGCUCUGGACCUGGUUGGGUUCCUCGAAACCCGUGCCCACCAGACUGAAAGGAGACGACGCCCCUUCUAGCAUAACAAUAUGGUGGUGGUUAUUGAGCGAGUAUUUCUUAGGCGGGCCUCUAACUCUAUCUUCAAAUUCCUUGCCUUUUUGCAGCACCGGCACCCGCUUUCUAGACAACAAGGUUACGACCGGCUUGGCCACAUGAUGGACGCGAUGACUGUUGUUGCACGCCAUCUUGCUUAGCCACAGAUCUCNNNNNNNNNNNNNNNNNNNNNNNNNNNNNNNNNNNNNNNNNNNNNNNNNNNNNNNNNNNNNNNNNNNNNNNNNNNNNNNNNNNNNNNNNNNNNNNNNNNNNNNNNNNNNNNNNNNNNNNNNNNNNNNNNNNNNNNNNNNNNNNNNNNNNNNNNNNNNNNNNNNNNNNNNNNNNNNNNNNNNNNNNNNNNNNNNNNNNNNNNNNNNNNNNNNNNNNNNNNNNNNNNNNNNNNNNNNNNNNNNNNNNNNNNNNNNNNNNNNNNNNNNNNNNNNNNNNNNNNNNNNNNNNNNNNNNNNNNNNNNNNNNNNNNNNNNNNNNNNNNNNNNNNNNNNNNNNNNNNNNNNNNNNNNNNNNNNNNNNNNNNNNNNNNNNCACUAAAGCCUGUUUCUGAGAGAGAUAUUUUGGCUAGCCAAGUUUUCGGUGGGCUUGACUUUGGCUCAAACCAAACACAAAAUUCAUCCUAAGGCCUCCUUUGGUUUGUAAUAGCAAUUUUGUAGGAAUUCUAUAGGAUAGAAUUUUCAAAAGAAACAUUCUUUUGAAGCCCUUUGGUUUGCAUGAACAAAUUUUUAUUCCUGUGUAGGAUAGGAACCAAUCCUUCACAUUUCAAAGGAAAAAAAAAACAUUAGCCUAGACUUGAUGGAAAAAUUCCAUCCUAUACAUCAAAUGUCAUCUCUUUUCCUAUAGGAAUUGAGGUACAUGUCUAACUCAUUUCCUAUGAUUUUCCAAUUCCUAUGACAUGCCUAUCCUAUGAACCAAAGGAGGCCUAAUAAUUUCCAAACAAAUAUCUCUCAUCCAAACGGCACAAGCACCCCCUACAGAAGUAAAACAAUAUCCAAUUGCAAUGUAUGGAUAUAUAUUCUCAGUGUGCUUAUACAACAUGUUAAAAUAACUGAAACGGAAAAGAAAAUUAACAGGAUGAAAAAAAUUAACAACAGCCAAUUGUACAGAAGGGUCUAAACAUGAAAAUAGCACUAUGUUAUAAGUAGUUAGUCAUCAUUGUAGCCUUCAAUAUUCAGUCUUCUUCUGGAUCUUCUGGGCGCUGUAAAAAGAUAAGAUCAAAUGAGGAGGGGCCCUUCUCUGGAGCAAAUAACAAACGAGAGUAUAUAGUUCUCAUCGUUCCAAUCACAGUUAUAACCAAGAAAUUCAGUAUGAAGCAAUGUAACAUUCAUUGGAUCUAUGCAUCAACUCAGAACCUGAAUAUUCUGAUACAGUGAUACUUCUGAAACACUGUCUAAUUCAACCCAUUGAAUAGCAGAAAAGCAAAUUCAACAGUAAAAAACAAACACUCGUGCCAUCUUUCCUCUUCGUAUGUACUCCAUGUUGCUCUCUUCUGGAGUUCCAAUACCAGAUUCCCAUACAUGGCUGUUGCUGCUAGGGAUGCAAGCGGGCAUCCCGCAUAAGCCCGCCAAAACAGAAAUUUAGUUCAAACUGAACUAAAGCUGAACCAGAAAGAUUAUAACUAAGUCGAUCUACUUUGACUAUGAAGCGGGGCAGAUCGGGCGCCGCUCUGCAUCCCUUUUGCUGCCCUACAACAGUAUCAUUUGAGUCCAGCAACCUCGCAGGACCCGGACGGGUCUCUAGCUACCUCACCUUCUACCAGUAGAGACUGGGAACUUCUUUCUUCCUCCUCGUGAGAGUUAAAGACAUGGAUACGGAGGUCCAUCAAUUCUAGCAAACCUCGCAGGACCCGGAUGGGUCUCCAGCUACCUCACCUUCUACCAAUAGAGACUGGGAACUUCUUUCUUCUUCCUCAUGAGAGUUCAAUGUAAGGGGGAGGGGGAGGGGGGUGGAGGGGCGAAGGUGGAGAUCUGGAGAAGCCAUCUCGAGCUCACUGGAUAGCAUGCAGCAUCCUCGGAUUUAGAUAUCACAGACUCUGCACCUUCUAUUGCGUCGGGAUGUGGCCGCACCAUGGUUUUUAUCCAUAAGGCGAUGCCUCACCUAAGCAGUAAGGCGACCUGACAGCACCUUGCGUUUCGUUUGCCUUAGGCGCUUAAGCCUCCAUUAGGUGGUAAGGCGGGGGUUGAUCGACUUUAGAGGCCUUACCGCCUUAUAAACCUUGGGCCGUGCCUGGGACUGAAAGAACAAGAGGGGGCAAUAAACGGCGGGGGAGAAGUAGAAGAGGGUACGACACCAGCUGCAGGUAAGUAGAGGAUGUAGCACCGGUCAAGAUGAAGAAGAGGAUACGAUGUCGGUGACAGGGAAGGAGGUCUCCAAAGGUGGCGGGUUUGAGGUCCUUGCCAGCGGAAGGUUGAUACGAUCUCACGGUGGCGGUGGGUCGACAGAAGGUCACCAGCAGCGGUGGGUAAACGGGAGCCAGGGCGACAGUGGUUACACGGGAAUUCACUAUGCAAGACAAAGGAAAUGAAGGAUGACUGUUUCCAUACAAUUCGGAUGGGUCAAACUCCUUACUGGUCCUCGUUGUUCGGCACAGACCAUAGUAUUGGGCUUCAAAAUCCAAUUCUGAUUCUAUAGCCACCCAAACAGCAGAAUUCACAAACAUUGUGAACCUAGAUCAAUAACAGGAUAACUACCCUACAGAAGAUAGCCAGGUACAAGGUUACAGAGGAUGGGGUAGACAAUGGUUGAGAUGAGAGAACAGAUUGAUUUUUCAAGCUUGUCUCAAGCAUAGAUACAUAUUAUCCUUAUACAGUGGAUGUUUAGAUCUUUGACCUUUCCUAAUACGGCACGAACUCACAGCCCACCAGCCUCUAUUAUCAUGACCAACCACCUCUUAUUCUACAAGGUUGUUGCACCCAUGGUUUCAUGAGAUCAAAAGCCUAAUGCGGGUCUAAGAUACACAGAAAAAUGAAAGCAUGCAGAUGUCGGAGAAAACUGGUAGGAAAUCCUGUCUUUUACAGGCAUUUCACAAAGACACUACCUCGGAAACACGAAACAGUACCUAUUUAGAAACCACAACAUCUGUCUAAAAUGUCAUCUAACUCGGGCCGAAGAUGAUCAAAGUUUCAAUCAAAUAUAACCCUUCUAACCAAACAGCAAACCCAUUAUUUAACAAUUUCAGGAAGCAAAAAUAUUUACAGCCGAGCAAAUCAGGAGAAGCUAAAAAAAUAACUGUAUGCCAGAGCCUGAUCAAACUCAAAACUUCCAUGCAAGUUUUAGCCAGUAAACAGUCUACAGAUAUUUGGAUCUCAUGCUUGAAUAAAUGCAGCCAAUCAACCAUUAACUCAAAGCAUGGAGUUCUUGGUCAUCGCAACCCGAAUCCUGCUAGAAUGUAUAUAAAUCGUUAAGAAAAGACUAGUCAUGCUGCUGAUCUUACCUAGAAUUCAAUUGGGACAAACGUAUCCCCAUUAGUACAAGUGACAAAAGACUAGUGAAGCAAAGUUCGAGCAUAAGUGAUGCAACUGACAAGAGGACAAGAGACAAGCCCAUCCAAAACAGGUUUCGUAACAAUGUUAAUAAAGUGAGAGUUGAAAAUGCUCUGUAUCGACCUUCAAUGCAGUUCUAGGAUGGAAAGGUGCUAUGCCUAUGUAAAUAUGAGUAAUCCGACUGUUAUUUAAACAUCAAAGAAAAAAAUCCAAUCAUGUUUUACAGACUUCAACUCCGCCUAUGUUGUCUCAACAUAGCCGGUCCCAAGCCCGGGUAAAGGAGGAGGGUUGUGAUAGGCUUGGCGAGCCAACGUAAAAACUCAGCCACUCUUAUGGAGAUGAAACCCAAAAGAUUUUCGUUGGGGCGUAACCCUCUCAGCGACGCGCCACAUCGGAGCCCGGGUGUGGUGGAAAAUGGGCAAGGGCCGGGCCGUCACCCCCCAGGUGGUGCGCCGUAUCUUGAUCCGGAUACGGUGGCGAGUGAGCGAGGAUCGGGUCGUCGCAUCCUUAGUGGCGCGCUACAUCGGCACCCGGAUGUAGUGGAAAAUGAGCAAGGGUCUUCGCAUUUGACUCGACGAGUGCGAAGGGUAAGGAAGCUAGCCGAGCCUAGGAGGAUUCUCUUAGGUAGCUGGAACGUAGGGUCUCUGACAGGGAAGCUUCGGGAGCUAGUUGAUGCAGCGGUGAGGAGAGGUGUUGAUAUCCUUUGUGUCCAAGAAACCAAAUGGAGAGGACAGAAGGCGAAGGAGGUGGAGGAUACCGGCUUCAAGCUGUGGUACACGGGGAAGGCUGCAAACAGAAAUGGCGUAGGCAUCUUGAUCAACAAGAGCCUCAAGUAUGGAGUGGUAGACGUCAAGAGACGUGGGGACUGGAUUAUCCUGGUCAAGCUGGUAGUUGAGGACUUGGUUCUCAAUGUUAUCAGCUCGUAUGCCCCGCAAGUAGGCCACAAUGAGAACACCAAGGAGUUCUGGGAAGGCCUGGAAGACAUGGUUAGGAGUGUACCGAUUGGUGAGAAGCUCUUCAUAGGAGGAGACCUCAAUGGCCACGUGGGUACAUCUAACACAGGUUUUGAAGGGGCGCAUAGGGGCUUUGGCUAUGGCAUCAGGAAUCAAGAAGGAGAAGAUGUCUUAAGCUUUGCUCUAGCCUACAACAUGAUUGUAGCCAACACCCUCUUUAGAAAGAGAGAAUCACAUCUGGUGACUUUUAGUAGUGGCCAACACUCUAGCCAGAUUGAUUUCAUCCUCUCGGGAAGAGAAGAUAGGCGUGCGUGCCUAGACUGUAAGGUGAUACCUGGAAAGAGUGUUGUGCCCCAGCAUAAGCUGGUGGUUGCUGACUUCCGCUUUCGGAUUCGUGUCCAGCGGGAUAAGCGUGCCAAAGUCGCUAGAACGAAGUGGUGGAAGCUCAAGGGGGAGGUAGCUCAGGCGUUCAAGGAGAGGAUCAUUAAGGAGGGCCCUUGGGAGGAAGGAGGGGAUGUGGACAAUGUGUGGAUGAAGAUGGCGACUUGCAUUCGUAAGGUGGCCUCGGAGGAGUUUGGAGUGUCCAGGGGAAGGAGAAGCAAAGAUAAGGAUACCUGAUGGUGGAAUGAUGAUGUCCAGAAGGCGAUUAAAGAGAAGAAAGAUUGCUUCAGACGCCUAUACCUGGAUAGGAGUGCAAACAACAUAGAGAAGUACAAGAUGGCGAAGAAGGCCGCAAAGAGAGUUGUUGGUGAAGCAAGGGGUCGGGCAUAUGGGGACCUCUACCAACGGUUAGGCGCGAAGGAAGGUGAAAGGGACAUCUAUAAGAUGGCCAAGAUCCGAGAGAGGAAGACGAGGGAUAUUGGCCGAGUCAAAUGCAUCAAGGACGGAGCAGGCCAACUCUUGGUGAAGGACGAGGAGAUUAAGCAUAGAUGGCGGGAGUACUUCGAAAGUUGUUCAAUGGGGAGAAUGAGAGUUCUACCAUUGAACUGGACGACUCCUUUGAUGAGACCAGCAUGCGUUUUGUGCGGCGAAUCCAGGAGUCUGAGGUCAAGGAGGCUUUUAAAAGGAUGAAAGGAGGCAAGGCGAUGGGCCCUGAUUGUAUCCCCAUUGAGGUGUGGAAAGGUCUCGGGGACAUAGCGAUAGUAUGGCUAACCAAGCUUUUCAACCUCAUUUUUCGGGCAAACAAGAUGCCAGAAGAAUGGAGACAGAGUAUAUUAGUACCGAUCUUUAAGAACAAGGGGGGUGUUCAGAGUUGUACUAAUUACCGUGGAAUUAAGCUGAUGAGCCAUACAAUGAAGCUAUGGGAGAGAGUCAUUGAGCACCGCUUAAGAAGAAUGACAAGCGUGACCAAAAAUCAGUUUGGUUUCAUGCCUGGGAGGUCGACCAUGGAAGCCAUUUUCUUGGUACACAACUUAUGGAGAGAUAUAGGGAGCAAAAGAAGGACUUGCAUAUGGUGUUCAUUGACUUGGAGAAGGCCUAUGAUAAGAUACCGCGGAAUGUCAUGUGGUGGGCCUUGGAGAAACACAGUCCCAACAAAGUACAUUACCCUCAUCAAGGACAUGUACGAUAAUGUUGUGACAAGUGUUCGAAAAGUGAUGUCGACACUGAUGACUUCCCGAUUAAGAUAGGACUGCAUUAGGGGUCAGCUUUGAGCCCUUAUCUUUUUGCAUUGGUGAUGGAUGAGGUCACAAGGAAUAUACAAGGAGAUAUCUCAUGGUGUAUGCUCUUUGCGGAUGAUGUGGUGCUAGUUGACGAUAGUGGGACGGGGGUAAAUAGGAAAUUAGAGUUAUGGAGACAAACCUUGGAAUCGAAAGGGUUUAGGCUUAGUAGAACUAAAACCGAGUACAUGAUGUGCGGUUUCAGUACUACUAGGUGUGAGGAGGUUAGCCUUGAUGGCCAGGUGGUACCCCAGAAGGACACCUUUCGGUAUUGGGGGUCAAUGUUGCAGGAGGAUGGGGGUAUUGAUGAAGAUGUAACCCAUCGAACAAAGCCGGACGGAUGAAGUGGCACCAAGCUUCUGGCAUUCUCUGUGACAAGAGAGUGCCACAAAAGCUAAAAGGCAAGUUCUACAGGAUGGCGGUUCGACCCGCAAUGUUGUAUGGCGUUGAGUGUUGGCCGACUAAAAGGCGACAUGUUCAACAGUUAGGUGUGGCGGAGAUGCGUAUGUUGAGAUAGAUAUGUGGCCACACGAGGAAGGAUCGAGUCCGGAAUGAUGAUAUACAAGAUAGAGUUGGGAUAGCACCAAUUGAAGAGAAGCUUGUCCAACAUCGUCUGAGAUGGUUUGGGCAUAUUCAGCGCAGGCCUCCAGAAGCUCCAGUGCAUAGCGGACGGCUAAAGCAUGCGGAGAAUGUCAAGAGAGGGCGGGGUAGACCGAAUUUGAGAUGGGAGGAGUCCGUUAAGAGAGACCUGAAGGAUUGGAGUAUCACCAAAGAGCUAGCUAUGGACAGGGGUGCGUGGAAGCUUGCUAUCCAUGUGCCAGAGCCAUGAGUUGGUUGCGAGAUCUUAUGGGUUUCACCUCUAGACUACCCCAACUUGUUUGGGACUAAAGGCUUUGUUGUUGUUGUUGUUGUUGUUAUGUUUUACAGACUUCGGUGCAAAUGUAAAGCAGCACAGAAAGGGUGGCCAGCAGUACAGGCCUACGAGAGGGGAGGGAUACAGUACAUGACUUUGCGUUUUCUCAAAAAAAUGUUAAGCAGAAGCUAGCAAGUAACUUGUCAUAGUACCUCGUUUGGGCUCUUUUUAGCAGCUUCUACAGCUUCUGACCCAAAAAAGCUGGAGCCCAAACAAACGGGCUGUUUUCGGCCCGGCUCCUUCGCAGCGCUCCGCGGAAACGCCCCAGAAGCCGCAGCCAGAAAAACGAGCUUCUAGCAGCCGCAGCUGGCUCCUACAACCCGAAGNNNNNNNNNNNNNNNNNNNNNNNNNNNNNNNNNNNNNNNNNNNNNNNNNNNNNNNNNNNNNNNNNNNNNNNNNNNNNNNNNNNNNNNNNNNNNNNNNNNNNNNNNNNNNNNNNNNNNNNNNNNNNNNNNNNNNNNNNNNNNNNNNNNNNNNNNNNNNNNNNNNNNNNNNNNNNNNNNNNNNNNNNNNNNNNNNNNNNNNNNNNNNNNNNNNNNNNNNNNNNNNNNNNNNNNNNNNNNNNNNNNNNNNNNNNNNNNNNNNNNNNNNNNNNNNNNNNNNNNNNNNNNNNNNNNNNNNNNNNNNNNNNNNNNNNNNNNNNNNNNNNNNNNNNNNNNNNNNNNNNNNNNNNNNNNNNNNNNNNNNNNNNNNNNNNNNNNNNNNNNNNNNNNNNNNNNNNNNNNNNNNNNNNNNNNNNNNNNNNNNNNNNNNNNNNNNNNNNNNNNNNNNNNNNNNNNNNNNNNNNNNNNNNNNNNNNNNNNNNNNNNNNCCCACCCCGAAAGUACAUAUUACUGCGAAAUUGCCCCAAUACCGGUUCGUCUAUUUUCUUUCGUCCCCAUCACGCCGCCGCAUGCUCUCCUGCCUGAACCCCUCUCUUCCCUGGAUGCGCCUCUCGUCGGCCGGUCCCCUGCCCCUCCCGCCCGGAGAUGUGCCUCACCGGCGAAGACCCGAGGUUGCCGCCCCAAGCUGUUCCCCGUAUCCGAGCUGAACGCCUGCAUGGUCGCCGCCAGAAUCGGACGCCGCACCGACGCCAAUGUCGCCGGCCCGCUGCCCUGAACGUCGCAUCAACAGCACGCAUGCCUCCUGGAGCAAAGCACUGACGCCUCGUCCCACUGCUUAUCCAUCUGCAAGUGUGCACGGCGGCGGUGGAUGCGUGCGCAGCGGCUGGACAGUGUGCGUAGUUGCUCUGCUCUGCGUGCCCUGCAUGUUCUUGCUCAGCAUGCCAGCGUGCGUAUGUGCUUCUGCGUCCGUGGCCGAUAUGGUGCUGCUGCUGGCCGAUGAUGUUAUUGGAACAGGAAGCCAGUCUGCUACGAUAUUGGUAUAUAUUGAUAAUUCUGGUAAAGACACAUACAGCACUUUGCUUAUAAAUUGCUCCUGAGCCUUUUUUUUAACAUAAUAAAUGUCCGACUCUACACAAUCUCAUAUUUCACUGAUUAAGAUUGAGAGACAGAUCGAAAAAAAAGAUUGGGAGAUGGUGUAUCCGUGUAUAACCAAGCUCAUUAGUAGAAUGGGAGACUGUAUUGUCCUAUUUUCUGUUCAAACCAGUGAUAAAACAACCUUUUUUAAAAGCUGUUAAACGUGUCAUUUACACUUCUAACAAUACAAUCAGUACUUAAAUCCAAUUUACGGAACAAUUGAGGGUAUUCUAGUCAUUCAACAUAUUUCAGCAUCAGCCGCAGCUGCUACAACAUAACUACCAAACGACUACAUCUUAGCUUCAACCUUUCAGCCGCAGCUAGCAGCUACAGCCGCUCCUUUCAGCUGGAGCCGUUGCAGCUGCAGCCGAAGAAGUUGCAGCCCAAACAAACACACCCUUAGGCUACAGUUAGCUACGAAAAUACACAUGGGUUGUCCAAUAAAGCAAGGUAUGACAGAACCCAAAAGCUCCAAAAGACAAAUGAAAUCAACCAGUUCAGUGACUAAGAAUGUCAUACCGGUAGGAAGUCCCAAUCUUCCUCUCUCAUAUCAAAAUUUUCAGUAGUUUCUUCAUCAAGCAGUAACUGAACCAAAACAAAUAAUAUAUAAAUUGCUCAUUAGAUAUCAUGUAAAAAUCAUCUGUUGAAAAACUCACGGUAUGCAUUCCAGUGUACUCAUCAUAGUCAUGUACAACUGCUGGGACAUACCUGAAAGGCAGAAUAAUGAAAGACAAGGGAUUAAACUGGGGCGGAAACUGAAAACGAUAGAUAAAAGGACAUCUAACGCCAUCAACCAGAUUUGGAGUUGUGAAGGCAUACAUUUUGUCCCGUCGAUCCCAUAAACGGAUGAUCUCCCCAAUACAACUAUCUGAGGUUGUCUUUCUUUUCUUCAUGUCAUGCUGAUCUUGUGAGCUCGCUGAGUUACCAUUGUGGAGAACAAAUGAGUUGACCGACUUAGACGUGCCAACCAUUUUUCUGCAGUUUGAAGAUCCACAAUGACAAUCUUGGUCUGCUCCAAACUGGACAAAUCUGUAGAUAAGGACAGAGAUUAGAAACAGCAACAGUUUUGUGUACACAAUGCGAUAAAGCAAGGUGGGCGAAACAAAUUUGUUUAUAAUGAAAAAGAAUACUUAUAAAGUAACCAGGAACCUAAAUGAACAUACUUAUAGUCAUAGGUCAGCUCCUCCCCUCUCUCUAUGUCACGAAGAGCAAAAAUUCCAACUCGGGUCUCUCCAUCUACGGUCCUGAAAUAACAUGAUACCAGUAGCAAAUAUCAGGGUCAUCAGCAUGGAUAUAGCAUAAGCAAUACAAUAUAACUAACCAUUUUUGCAUCUCUGUGUUUGGUUCACAACUAUGAUUGAUGAAUCUGGACUUGUUCCCCUUGUUUGUUGCAUCAAUGACCAUAUUGCUACUGACCUCACAAAGAUAGAAGUUAGUGUAACGUUGUCUCUUCAUUUUCCAUAGUCUUUCCUCGCAAGUUCUGUCAUCAAUAACUACAAUAUUGAUGCAAGAUAUAUGGAUAUUAGUUUGAUCACCCAGUGUACUAUGUGAGUAACCAUCAUAAUAUAUAAUACUUGCAUUUGUCUGCAUUUCAUUUACUUGCUCAAAAUAGAUUUCAACAAAGCCUUACCUUCUCCUACAUAUUCUAUAACAAAUUCUCCUUUCUUUAUUUCAUCCUCGGCUAUCAAUCCAAAGCCACAUUUCUCUGUCUAGAAUAAUAUAACAGUCUUUUAGGGAACUAUUAGGAAGUGAAAAGAAUGUAUAUGCAACAAUUAAACGUAUUAUGAAACAAUUAAAUUUAUGCACCACUUCCAACGGAACUUAGAAAACGAUCAUCAAAUAGUAAUGUUUGGCUACGCUUCAAAAAAUAUCAAACAUGAAACCACUUGCCUUAGAUUCUCUGUAGACUUAUUAACACAUAAGAGCAUACUUUCCUCCUCGCAUUUAUUUUUGCCAAUUGUGAAGUAUUUCAGUGUUGAAGUAUUGUUUGUGUUAGUGCAUGAAGAAUGAAUAUACUGCCCCACAAGAUAAAGAAAGUUUCAUUAAGGGAUUUGCCAUGGUUUAAGGUGCAGGGUCAGUUGUGCACAGAAUGUGACUAUAUGUUGGAUAUUUUGCUAACAUACAUAUAAUCUCUAUGAAACAUGCAGAUACAAGGGCCAGCUCAAAUAUGGAGUACAGGGAUAAGUAAUGUGGUUCCUAAGAAAUCUCUGAAUUCUAUAUAGUUCCAAAAAGAAAUACAAAAUAACUUGUAGGUAGGAAAACAUUAUAUGUAACAUAACAUCAUAAAGAAAAACAAUACCAGACAACACAGAAUCAUAAAUUGACCUAGGGCAACGGUGAAACUGACUAUAGAAACAAAUGUCUUGAACGGUAAAAUCAUCAGGAUACGUACAACCAAGAAAAUGACGCAAAUUUAGUUAAGUUGGUCCUGGUGGACAAGGCAAAUAUAGCAGAAGUUGUCUGCAUACAGAUUCAACAUGUAUGUAUAGGAUAUAGCCAAAUAUGGUAGGUCAAGCAUAUUUUCCUAUGUUUGUAUCCCCUAAGAUUAACAACUAAACAAAAAUUAGGUCGCAUAAGGACAAGUAACUGGUUAGCUGCACAGACUAACAUGACAAUUCACCAGAAUCAAGAACUUGUGGUGGAAAGAAUUGGAGGUCAGAGGAAGCCAUGGCCACUGUUGGAGGUGCUGACAGCAGCAAGUUUUGGGAGGGGAGAAUAUCAGGGGCCAGAAGGCACCUGCAGGGUGAAAAAGGCCUUGCUGUGGUGGAUUUGGGCUGCCAUGUGAGCAUCACUUCAGCAGAGUCAUAUAGAACAAACAGGAUGAUCGGACGAGUCAAGGACAUGAAAACUUGAUGUCAAGGAAACUGAGGCGGCUUGGCGUUGGGGAGCUCACACCAAUGGCUGUGAGUUUUAAUUAUGUCGAACCACAGGCCACGGAAAGCCAGAUAGGGAACAGGGAGAAGAACAUCCCUGCCCCUACUUCACAGGGUUCAUCCCCCAAUACACGGUUACCCUACUGUGGUUGAAAUAGACCCUAUGAAAAAAAAAACUGUGGGAAGAAUUCCAGCCAACCAAUAAAGCCUACUAGAGGAAUUUUCUACCAGGAAACAGGGGAGACCCAUUGGCGUACCUAACAAGGGAAAUCUUCACAUAUAGUUGUUGUUAGACAGAAUUGCACCAUGUAUGGCAGAUCAGGUCACAAACACCUGCCUCAAGAAAGGGGUUUGAUUCAUUCAAGUUGUACUGUCAAAAUUACUAACUUCAAACAUUGGGAGGUUUUUUUUCUUUAAGCUGUAUGUUUUAUAUUCCAUUUUAUGUUGCUACCAAUCAUUUCGUUUACUUUAGUAUCCUCAAGAAAGAAAGAAUAGAAGUCACUGUACCUGAGCAGUUUAUGUAAGGAAAUUGUAUGCUGAGUUCAAAUAUGCUUAUUUUCAGUAAUGAAAGAGAGAAAUAAAAGUUAUAGAUUGGUCCAUGAAAGCAGAAUGGCUGGUAUACUAACACAUAAAUAUGAUGAUUAUGUGUUUAACUUAUAUUCCUUUACGUGGGACCUCGUUGCUGCUAUUGACUUGUUGAUUGGUUGUGGAGUUACAAGCAAGCAAAUUAAGUUCUAAGUUCAUGGAACUUUUCUGUAUUUAUUUCUCAAUUAUUUCGUUCAAUCAACCUAACACCUGGAUGCAGGUAUCAGCUGUUGCAGCACCUCCAGUGCUACAAAAGCUCAGCAACAAGUUCCCUGGGUAAGAUUAGAUAAACCAUGCCAUAUGUGUAUAGCAGGUUCCCGUUGUUUACUCUGUUUUUGGUCUUCAGGUUCCAUGUGUACGCAGGGAUGAUCGAUUUUAAAGUAGAUGAGAGAGGGUACUGUCUUAAACUUCUUGCUGUCCAAUGCUUAUACUGUAAAAUGUGUACAUAACGUUUCCGUUCUUCAAUAUAAUGCAUCUGGCCUGUAGGUCAGGCGACCGAUCAAACAGAGCAGUGACUAACAUCGUUGUUUUGUCCCCGCAUGUACAUAAUUCCAGGUUUGGGAGAUGCUGGUGAUAGAAGUUUCGCUUCAUAGUCGGGCUAUUCAGUUUCAAUGCAGACUCUGUUCAGUGAGAAUCGUAUAUGCUAUUUUUUUGAGGAUUGCCAUACUGGAGUACUUGAGUGUUAAGAUUGUACGGCCUUAUUCCAUCCUUCUCAGCUACACAGCAUGGACACGGACAAAACAGCCAAAUUGCCGUCCUAGUUCAGCGGGACACAGCGAUACGGCUGGAUACUCCAGGAUUCACGUAUCCCCCAGUUUCCCCUGAUUUCCGAAUUAGAAAAAAAAAGGAAAGGCAUGGCUGGGACACGUAUGGAAUACGUUAGGGACACGGGAAACCCAAUAAAGGCCUCGGCCCAAUAUAGCGCCACAAAGGAACGCUGCUCCAUGCUACAGCAAAUGCGCCGUCGCCUCAACUUGAUGCUACUGCCGCCUGGACUCAACGCUACUGCCUCCUGGACUCGACCGCAGACUUGACCGCCACCGCCACCUGGACUCUGCCUCCCGACGGCAACCACGCUCAAGCGGGUAACCCAGCAGCCUCUCCUCAACCUUUUCAUCUCUUUGCUCGAUUUCUUGAUGUUGAGUUGCUGAUGCUUGCUUCCCCAUGCGCCCACGCCAUUGCUGCUUGCUGUUGAGCUGCCGCUCACUUGAAUGCUGAUGCUGGUGUUUUGAUUGUUGCUUGCAGUCAGGGAGCAUGGCAUUUGGGAGCGCCACCGCCAGUAGCCAAUUUUCCAUGGGUGAGCGUGAAGGGCAGCCUGGUCUCAACUCUCUAAUAGACUAAUACUGGCAUUUGCCAUUUGAUGUAUUAUUUUUAUUUUUAACUCUAUGUAUAUUACAUGGCAUUUUUUAUCUUUUUAUAUAUACUUGCCGUAUCCCCGAAUGGCUAUUUUGAGAAAAUGCCGUACCCCGUGUCCCCAUAUGCGUACCGCCCUGUCGUGUCUCUGUAUCCGUGCUUCUUAGCUUCUCAGUAAUAUACUCCCUCUGUCCUAUAAUAUAGGAUAUUAUUACAACCAAUGUACUCAUAUAUUGGUUGUAAUAACAUCUUAUAUUAUAUGGGCCGGAGGGAGUACUUAUGAUUCUUAUUACUUUUAAAUUAUCCAUUUUUAUGGAUGUAAUGUACAUGGCUAGCUGUCACGUCUCUUGGGAAAAACAGGCUAAUUCUUUAAGGGGCAAUAUCUGUUUUUUCCUUUUUGUGUGUGUAUGUUAUGAUCUCUGUUCUCAAAGCAUCUUUCAGAUUUGUGAGUGCUUAUCAUUCAACAACAAAGAAAUGACCGACUGUGCCCGUUUCAAUCAGACCGAUAAUGCAUGAAGCAAUGCCGAAGCAAACUUAACAGAUCAUGAAUGACUGUCUGGAGGUGUUAAAUUAGUGUGGCCAGUAUUUAGCUUGUUAAAUGGGUGGAAUGAGUGAAUUGAAUAGCUCCAAGAACAGAUAAUACUGUUGCCAUAUGGAGGAUUGCUAGCUACGGCAUGUACAAUGGGGUGAUCUUCGUCGUGAUAUUUAGUUAUCUACGAAGCAAGAGAGGAGAAAGAAAGAAACUUGUUUCACUCCAAGGAAAGAAACUUGUUUCGCUCCAGGGAAAGCUAAGAGAAGGCUAAUUGUUCUAAAGAAUACGUGAUCUCUAACACUGUAUUAAUGUUUUAUAGCCGUCCUAACAAGUCUUAUUGGAAGGUUAAAAGUUUGCAACCAGACAGCAGUGUACCAGGAAUAACAUGGCAAGUUUGGUUAGCCCGUCUGUUAGUCUCACAUUGUUGACAAUUGUACAGACAGUAUUAUUUGUCACAAACUGUGUGACCUAGCACCAUCCCCUGUGGGCCGUGGCAAGAAACAAUUCUGAGGUAAUUGAUUGGCAUCGACAAAAUAGGCUCUUGAUACAGUAUAGUUGUUCUGCACAGCCGCUAUUCUGCUACUAAAAAAAACUAUAUAAGAUCUCCACCCUGGUCACUGAAACUAAAUAAGUCCACAAAAAUUAGGAAAUUUUAGCUACUAUUUUAAUCCGCGGGCAGUCACUCAAAUUAUUACAUUCCUACCUGUGUUUUCCUAGCAUAUUUUCUGUUAGAAUUUUAUAUUGCUCCAAUGCAAACCUUAGUUUGUUCAUUUUUACCUAUGCAGGAUUUAGUUGUUGGCAGACCCAAAGCUGUGUAUUUCUAUGAAGUUGAUGGUAGAGGUCCUUGCUGCCUUGCUGGGCUUUUGACAGUGAGAAGAAAUUUGUAGGUUGGUUUCAGCGCUAUAUACUUUGUGUUGAAUCGGGAGAAGGGUACCUUCACACAGCGCCUCCCCUCCUGUCUUGUUGCCUGCGUGAGUGUGUGUCUUGGAUGUGGCGGCUCUGUCUGGGGCAGGGGGAAGAGGGGCUCCUCUUCUAGGUCAGCACCUCUCAUGGGCUUGGGCCCAAGAGACAGAUCUUGAUGGGCUAGGGCCCAUACCGGUUCAACACGCCCCCUCAAGAUGGGUGGUAGAUAUCUAUCAUCCCCAUCUUGUCACACGCCAAGUUACAGUCCUUUGUUCCCAGUCCCUUUGUCAAGCAAUCUGCAAACUGCUGCCCAGAGCUGACAUGAGUAAGGCUGAUGAUCCCAGCAUCAAGUUUCUCUUUAAUGAAGAAGCGAUCAAUUUCCACAUGCUUCGUCCUAUCAUGUUGAACUGGGUUAUUAGCAAUGGCUAUAGCUGACUGAUUGUCACACCACACCCUUAAGGGUCCCUUCCUCAAGAGUUUCAACUCGCAUAGUAGGUGCUUCACCCAGAGCAUAUCACACAAUCCUUGAGAUAAUGCUCUAUAUUCAGCUUCUGCUGUUGAUCUAGACACAACAUUCUGUUUCUUGCUUCUCCAUGACACCAAAUUUCCUCCCACAAACACACAGUAACCUGAAGUUGAUCGUCUAUCAUCUUGACAGCUAGCCCAAUCAGAGUCACUAUAGCCAUCCACCUCUAGAUGUCCACUCUUCGCAAACCACAACCCUUUACCCGGAGUCCCCUUCAAGUAUCUCAGGAUUCUGUGAACAAUAUCAAGAUGCCCUCUCCUUGGUUCAUGCAUGUAUCUGCUCACCACCCCCACGGCAUACGUAAUGUCAGGCCUAGUAUGACACAAGUACAAUAACCUCCCAACCAGCUUCUGAUAAUCUUCCUUAUUCACUAGCUCACCUGAUUGUGCUGUUACUUGAUGAUUUUGUUCAAUUGGAGUAGGGGCUGCACGACAUCCCAUCAUGCCCAUGUCACUCAAAAGAUCCAAGGUGUAUUUUCGUUGGCACAAAGAUAUUCCCUUCUCUGUCCGGGCCACUUCUAUGCCAAGGAAGUACUUUAGAUUUCCUAAGUCUUUUACCUCAAACUCCUUGCUCAGACACCCCUUCACUCUCUUUAUUUCCUCCUCAUCAUCUCCAGUGAUGAUGAUAUCAUCAACAUACACUGCAACAAUGGUGAUCUUCUUAUUAGUGUGUCUAUAAAACACCGUGUGGUCACCAUUACAUUGGCCAUACCCCAUAUUCCAAACAGCUCGUCUGAACCUAUCAAACCAUGCCCUCGGCGAUUGCUUCAGACCAUACAAGGAUUUCUUCAGCCUGCAUACCUUCCCCGUAGUCUGUUCUGUGCCAAAACCUGGCGGUAUCUCCAUGUAUACCUCUUCUUUCAAGUCACCAUGUAAGAAGGCAUUCUUGACAUCUAACUGGUGCAAUUUCCACCCAAAGUUUGCAGCACACGAGACUAAUACCCGUACCGUGUUCAUCUUUGCAACUGGAGCAAAUGUCUCAUCAUAGUCAAUUCCAUAAGUUUGACUAUAUCCUCUGGCAACCAAUCUAGCCUUAUACCGUUCCACCUUGCCCUCAGGAUUCUGCUUCACAGUAAAAAUCCACUUACAACUCACUGCUUUCUUUCCUGCCGGCAAUGUGGUUAGCACCCAUGUCUUGUUUUUUUUCAAUGCUUCUAACUCCUCUAUCAUCGAUUCACGCCACUUCGGAUCUUGCUUUGCAGCCUUCCAAUCCCUAGGGAUAGACACAGUUUGCAGAGAGGCAACAAACGCCUUAUAUGAAGGUGACAAAGCCUUGUAAGACACAAAAUUGCCAAUAUCAAGGUCAUCACAAGCAUCAUCCUUUGGCAGAGCCUUCCUUGCUGCUUCACGUGUAGGUUUUCGCAAUGCAAUGGGCAGCUCCACUGUGUCAGAUGAGCUUGCCUCACUGCCUUGCUGCUCCCCCUGCACUCUUGCCUCACUGCCUUGCUGCUCCCCCUGCACUCUUGCCUCCCUGCCUUGCUGCUCCCCCUGCACUCUUGCCUCCCUGCCUUGCUGCUCCCCCUGCACUUGUGGUUGCCGCCGAGAGUACACCAGGGUAUUCGUCUGCCAUCGAUCCCGAACAGGAACCUGGAGAGCACCAAUAUUAAGUGUAUCGACAGUUGGCUCGGCAUGAGCCCGCACAUCAUGAUCAGUGAUGGUACUAACCGGAAUUGUACCCACUAUUGGUUGAACCUGAGCCUGCACAUCAUUAUCAGUGUUAAUGUCCACAGGAUCACCGUGAGUAUGAGACACAUCCUUCUCCCCCUCUUGACCAUCAUGCACAGGGUGUAGGUGGUCAAGCUCUGCAAACAACAGACUGAGAUCAGUCGGCUCACCAUAGAAUGGCUCAGACUCCCUGAAUGUAACGUCCAUACUUACAAACCUGCGUUUUUCAGAGGGACACCAACAUUUAUACCCCUGCUGACUAGACGAGUAUCCCAGAAAGACACACUUCACUGCCCGAGAAUCAAGCUUGCCAACAGAUGGUCGGUGAUCACGAACAAAGCAGGUACUGCCAAACAACUUUGGGGGAACAACAAACUUAUUAUCUCCAAUGAUCAACUCAGACGGAGAUUUCAUGCCAAGUAUCCUGGAAGGUGUUCGGUUGAUCAAGUAUGUGGCUGUCAUAACUGCAUCAUCCCACAAGAACUUAGGCACAUUCAUGGUAAACAUCAACGACCGAGCAACCUCAAGAACAUGACGAUUCUUCCGUUCGGCCACUCCAUUCUGAGGGGGGGUGUCCGGACAUGAAGUUUGAUGAAGAAUCCCAUGGUCAGCCAUGAAAGCCCCAAAAAUGUUGUUCACAUACUCCGUUCCAUUGUCCGUCCUGAGCACCUUGACCUGUACCUGAAACUGGUUCUUCACAAGAGCAUGGAAGUUCUGAAAACAGCUAAACACCUCAUCCUUGUGACGCAUCAAGUAAAUCCAAGUCAUGCGAGAAUAGCAGUCAAUAAAGGUAGCAAAAUACUUCUUCCCAUUCAUUGACACCACUGGGCUAGUCCAUACAUCCGAAUGAAUAAGCAUAAAAGGAGAUAUGCUCCUGAGCCCCUUACUCACAUAUGAGGCCCGUGUGUGUUUUGCAUAUUCACAAGCAUCGCAUGUCAGCUUGCCUUUGCCUAUGCCACACAUAACAUCCGGAAAUAUUCUACUCAUCUUAUCAAAAGAUACAUGCCCCAUCCUACAAUGAUGGAUCAUCGCCUG
rnacentral:lncRNA from 1 species